GGUGGCUCAGCGGUAGAGCACUUGCCUUGCGUGCAUGAGGCCCUGGGUUCAAUUCCUCAGCACCA
rfam:Dipodomys ordii contig_13115, whole genome shotgun sequence.